UUUACCUUAUUUUCUCAUAGUAUGCUCUGCUAUAUAAUCACCCUCCUUCUCUUAUUCUAGAUAGACUUGGAUUCCUAUAUUUUUACACUAUUUACUCUUUCUCUGCACUAUAAGAAUAUUUCUUUGUUUUUGUGGUCUUGAUACAGCUUUUGCUAUUAUCUUUUUUAUUACGAAUUCUUGUUGUAGAAAUACGGUGUUCUUAUCUUGUUUUAUAAUUCUGCCACUUAUUGGUGUUUAAAAGGUUUGCUUGAUUUGGGACCGCCGAAGAGUUGAUUAGGACGUGAAGGGACAAUACAACCUCUCAAUUAGCUUUUAUUUAUUUAAUGUCUAUCUAAUUUAUUCAAUUUUGUAAUGAACUACCGUAUAAAUGCUUAUAUAAUAAUAAAUCAUGGGGACU